UGGAAGAAAUUGAAGAGGAGGUGAAGUUGUUAUGAGGGAGAAGAAGGGAACGGAGAUGAUGAAACUGGAAAAGGCUACUGUUAGGUUUCAGAGUUCCGCUAAGACAUGCCCUGAGUUGUAGCAUCGUGACCGCA
rnacentral:sRNA from 1 species